CCGAGUUAUUCUACUCCCAAACCCCUGUGAACUUAUACCUUUACUGUUGCUUCGGCGGGUUAACGCCCCGGAAGGCCCGCGAGGGCCGCCGGAACCAGGCGCCCGCCGGGGGACCCAAACUCCUGUACUUCUCACCUGUGGCAUGUCUGAGUGGAAUCAUUUACAGAAUGAAUCA
rnacentral:misc_RNA from 1 species